UAGCGUAGGGGGCAAGGCGUUGUCCGGAUUCGAUUGGGCGUAAAGCCGUCGUGUGAGGCGGCCAGGUAGGUCCUGGUGUGAAAACUCGAGGCUACCACCGAGCUGUCGGCGGAAACCAUCUGGCUAGAGUCCGGAAGAGGAGAAUGGAAUUCCCGGUGUAGCGGUGAAAUGCGCAGAUAUCGGGAAGAACACCCGUGGCGAAGGCGGUUCUCUGGGACGGUACUGACGCUGAGACGCGAAAGCGUGGGGAGCGAACAGG
rnacentral:rRNA from 1 species